rnacentral:rRNA from 1 species
UUAGAGGAAGUAAAAGUCGUAACAAGGUUUCCGUAGGUGAACCUGCGGAAGGAUCAUUACUGAAUUGUCAAACGGGUUGUUGCUGGCCCUCAUAGGGGGCAUGUGCACGCUCUGUUUACACAUCCACUCACACCUGUGCACCCUCUGUAGUUCUAUGGUCUGGGGGACCCUGUCUUCCUUCUGUGGUUCUACGUCUUUACACACACACUGUAAUAAAGUUUUAUGGAAUGUACAUCGCGUCUAACGCAAUACAAUACAACUUUCAGCAACGGAUCUCUUGGCUCUCGCAUCGAUGAAGAACGCAGCGAAAUGCGAUAAGUAAUGUGAAUUGCAGAAUUCAGUGAAUCAUCGAAUCUUUGAACGCACCUUGCGCCCCUUGGCUAUUCCGAGGGGCAUGCCUGUUUGAGUAUCAUGAACACCUCAACUCUCAUGGUUUGCCAUGAUGAGUUGGACUCUGGGGGUUUUGCUGGCCUGUGGUCGGCUCCUCUCAAAUUAAUCAGCCUCCCAGUGUUUGGUGGCAUCACGGGUGUGAUAAAUAUCUACGCUCGCUGUUGUCUGCCAGGUAACCUUUGGUCACAAAGGUUUGCUGGAGCUCACAGAUGUCUCUCCUCAGCGAGGACAGCUUUUUUAACGUUCGAUCUCAAAUCAGGUAGGACUACCCGCUGAACUUAAGCAUAUCAAUAAGCGGAGGAA